rnacentral:rRNA from 1 species
UCAGGCCUAACACAUGCAAGUCGAGCGAGACCUUCGGGUCUAGCGGCGGACGGGUGCGUAACGCGUGGGAACGUGCCCUUUGGUUCGGAAUAGCCCUGGGAAACUGGGAGUAAUACCGGAUGAGCCCUACGGGGGAAAGAUUUAUCGCCGAAGGAUCGGCCCGCGUUGGAUUAGGUAGUUGGUGGGGUAAUGGCCUACCAAGCCGACGAUCCAUAGCUGGUUUGAGAGGAUGAUCAGCCACACUGGGACUGAGACACGGCCCAGACUCCUACGGGAGGCAGCAGUGGGGAAUCUUAGACAGUGGGGGAAACCCUGAUCUAGCCAUGCCGCGUGAGAGAAGGAGGCCUUAGGGUUGUAAAGCUCUUCAGCUGGAAGAUAAUG